UGGCUCAAAUUAAGAUCCUACAUCUGUAAUGUGUGGUGUAGUACUGUGGCCCACAUUGUAACAGUACAGAAGAACAUCGGCUUGCUAUUUGGUGAGAUUUGACAGUUGGAUUUGACAAUUGGAAAGUGCUGUCAGACCCGGGGAGGACACUAGAUUCUGCAAGCCCUUUGAUCCUGUCUCCAUGGCUCCCCCAGAUGUUCUGCUUGUCGGGGCAUUGUGAUGUGGAAGCCUGUUUAUUUACAGAGGUGGCAGUAUGAUACCUGAAUCUGGUCAGUAUUGCAGCUCAACUCCAUGAGUCCUACAGUCUUAGAAGAAGCAGUCUCUUUGAUUUGGUGAUUGCCAGGUCAAAGAGCGCGUCGAGCUGUCACGCCCCAGCGCCACCAGGGAGGGGCUCUCCUCGCCCACCUGGCCUAGCUCGCCUAGCUGGCCGUUACCCACAAGGCACCUGGACAGGAGAGGGACCCGCAGGCAGCAGGGCCAGAGGGGGAAGAGUGAAGGAGUGUCAGC